AAAAAAUGCAUUGCAUAGCUAAGUUUCAAAAUAAAAUAAAAUGCAUUGCAUAGCUUCUAGAAAAAUAUGUUCGUUUACGAAAGUACCUUCUAAACCUUAAAUUUUUUAUGAAACAAUAAUAUUUACUCAACAAAGAGCAAACUUUAACAAGUACAGUUAGAAGAGCAGUUAACCAGUUGUAUGAACUACUAGGAAUACUCUGUAUUUCCCCUGCUCCCUUAUUUUUUGUGUAACAUUUGUACCUUAAACCGCACAUUUGUAAAAAGCUUGUCUCGUUCUUGUCCAAUAAAUGUAGAUAUAAACAAGAUGUGUAGAGGAAUUACAUAUGUCCUGUUAUCUGAUGCAAUAGAUUCGACGCUAUAGUACAAUGUAACCUGGAAAAUUUAGCUUUUGGAGGUUUUGUGAUUUCGAUUCGCAGGUUCCUCAUCUAUUCCUCUCUCGUAAUAUGUUUUUUGUACUGAGAAUCAUGUUUCUGCUUGUAACUUGGACCACUUUUGUGCUUGUUUCAGUUUGUAACUCGUUUGUGCUAGUGUUUCAUUCGCAGUGGCUCGUGCUCGUCAAAGGUAGUUUGAGUCAUGAAUUUGAAGAUAAUAGUACUCGACAAAUUUUUGUUGUAUGAAUGAGGUUAUUUUUUGUUUGAUUCUUAAUGUUUGUCUCAUUUAUAUUAUCAGUGGGAACAUUUUGGAAAUGGAUUUUGAGCCAUUUACUACUGUAACUUCUCCAAUUUUUUGUGUUUUUCCUUUCCCAUAUAUUUUUACUUUACCCUCCUCUUUUUUGAAAUCGAAGAAGUAAUCAAUCAACAGCUAGAUUGUUCUUUUCCACAGUGACCAAUGCAUACAGAAAGCCUUGUUACUUAUGAACAUAGUUGCGAAGCAACUGACUAGUCUCUACAACACGGAGAAGUAUGCAGAAAAUUUCAAGCUUGGAACAACUAUAUGGAAAUAUGCAGUAUGGGGACAGCUUAUGGAAAAAUGAAGAGUGGUGUUGGAGUGGCGUCAAUGAGAGUGAUGAGGCCGGAGUUGGUGGUGAAAUCAAUUUUUCCUGUUGAGCACUUUAAACAUUGUUGUGUGAUCCUGUUGCGGGAUUCUAUGUGUGAUCGCCAAAGUAUUUAGUCCUUGGUAUACUUUCGCAUAUUUAGAGCCUAAUAUAUUAUGCAUUUGUUUUGUAAAUUUUGCGUCAAGUAGAAUACACCAUGUGAUCAUUGUUACUAUGCAGAGGUAUUUGUACUUAAUAUUUCUAGCGAAGAUGGUGGAGUAGACUUGACUGACUCGGUAAGGUUGGCGGUGGCAGAAGGUCGUAGCUCUGAUUGUUUUGAUACGUGUUGUCACCUGAGUCAAGUUGUGAGUUGAGUCAGGCAUUGUGUACAUCAAGACAACGUAUCAUUUUUUGUUUUUGUUUUUGUUUUUAUGUUCUUUUUUAUUUAUCGAGAGUAUUGUAAAUUUGAUGACAUUUGGUAUUAAUUUAUGUUAACUUCUUCAUGAUUUGCUUAAAUCUUUGUAUUUUUAAU